rnacentral:rRNA from 1 species
AGGGUUUGAUCCUGGCUCAGAUUGAACGCUGGCGGCAGGCCUAACACAUGCAAGUCGAACGCGAAAGCACUUCGGUGUGAGUAGAGUGGCGGACGGGUGAGUAACGCGUGGGAAUCUACCUAGUAGUGGAGGAUAACUCGGGGAAACUCGAGCUAAUACUGCAUACGCCCUACGGGGGAAAGCGGGGGAUCUUCGGACCUCGUGCUAUUGGAUGAGCCCGCGUUAGAUUAGCUUGUUGGUGAGGUAAUGGCUCACCAAGGCGACGAUCUAUAGCUGGUCUGAGAGGAUGAUCAGCCACAUUGGGACUGAGACACGGCCCAAACUCCUACGGGAGGCAGCAGUGGGGAAUAUUGCGCAAUGGGCGAAAGCCUGACGCAGCCAUGCCGCGUGUGUGAAGAAGGCCUUCGGGUUGUAAAGCACUUUCAAUAGGGAGGAAAGGUUGUAGUUUAAUACGCUGCAACUGUGACGUUACCUAUAGAAGAAGGACCGGCUAACUCCGUGCCAGCAGCCGCGGUAAUACGGAGGGUCCGAGCGUUAAUCGGAAUUACUGGGCGUAAAGCGCGCGUAGGCGGCUUUGUUAG